UUCUGAAAGUUCUCUCUCCUCUUCUCCGUUCUCUCACUAAUCUUUCACGGGGAAGGAGAUGAGACUUCCGAUUUUUGUUGUAAAAAUCUUCGAUCAAGUGAUCGAUUUUCACCUUCGCUAGGCGAUUAUCUCUUCGUUAGGCGACUUUUGUAGUGUUUUUUCUAGACAAAUCAGUUAUGUUUUUCAAGUCCUUUCUCGUUUCUGAUUUGGCUUGAACCAAUAAAGAUCCCAUCUUGUUUUGAUCGGUGAUUUCGAUCUCCUCCUUCGCAAAGUUAUUUAAAAUUCUGUUUUGUUUGGGUUGGAUCUUCUUCUUCGUUCGGUUAUGCACAUUUACUUUAUUUAUGGGUAUUAAUCUUUACUCUCACUAGAUGUGAACCAAUAGUCAGGCAAUUGAGUAAAGUCUCCUAGACGUAAACUAAUAUGUGAUUUGUAAUUGAUUUUGUUUGUCUUUUUAGAGGCUUAGUAGAGUUGACACCUUUUACGGUGGUUCAACAAAAGGCUUUCUCUUGAGUCAAACAAAUCAGAUUCGAGACUUAUCAGCCGGUGUUGAUAAUCAAUUCAGCAACGAACGGCGGCUUAGGCGAAGGAUUGGAGCUAAUCGUUACAUCUGAUAUCGGACGGAUAAGAAGCUUUAAUCUAAAGGUGUCAGACAGAGAGAUGAGGUUGAGAAGCAAUUUCGUAGAGGUCUAUGGUGGUUGAACGUCGGAGCAGUUGUGUUCUUACCGCUUCACGCAUGACGGACGCAUGUAAAGGUGUUGGGGAUGUAGGCCCCAUUCUUGAUAUGGUAGCGGUGGUUCUUGAGAUGAUAUCUACUAAUGUACUCGUUGCUAGGACCACAGCAUCAGCCAUUCUCCGUGCUGCACAUUAGUGAUAUAUAGCAACCGGUUGUCCUAGCUGGCUAGUGGAGGUAUUUGAAAGUGAUAAAAGUUGAUCUUCUGUUUUUAGAAAUUUUUGUGUUGAUUUAGGUUAAAAAUCUCAGCCUAUUUUUCGGUUCGCUGUGGUCGUGCUUUUCUUUCAAGCAAGGCUUGAUGAUAUAAGGUAGAACUAGGAUGUGUAUUGGGUCUU